ACACCCACUCCUCGGUGCUGUUCCCCCAAUCCCUUCUCCCCCGCACAUCUUGCUCGGCCGUCGUGGGUUGCAUCGCCGCCGCAGAAAUUGGAGCGCCCGCCGGCUGCCGCACAGGUCGCGGGUGGUGGUUGAGCGCGCGCGGGGCGGAGGCGCGAGAGGCUGCGGUGGUGCGCGCGGGGACUGCAGAAGAGAGGUGGAGUGGGUGAAGGUCGCCGCGGUGCUCUGUCUCCAAUCCGCCAAGGGGUGCGGGGUGAAGGUCGCCGGCGACGCUACAUUUCCGGCGAGGGGACUUGCCACGGAAUUUCUGAGCAUCAACAAUGUCUGAGACAAGCAAAAAAAAGUGACGGUCAGGUCGCACAAGCAACCCAACAGGGUGUAGAUGAAAUAGAGCGUAGGUACGCCCACCACAGCAACAAAACAUGCCGGUAAUUGUCUAUAAGUGUAUGCGCACUAAAGAGAUCAUCUAUCACGGGAAGCGCCCAUCAUACAUAGAUAGUAAUACCAGUGCACCAGAUGCAUUUAGAAGGCAAGGAUAUCAUGCAAGAGGAGGAAUCGAAGCCAAAACGGCGGAGGACAGGCAAAAACGAGUAGGAACUAAUGGAUGGAUCAAGCAAAAAGGGCAUUCAAGAAGAUCAUCAUGCAGUUAAUCGUGAUGCCGAUCCCUCGCAUGCGAUUGAAUAUCAUCAAGAGGGCUAGAGAAGCACACCCUUUAUUGGGUACCAGCAUCGGGGAAGAAAGAAGAUUGCUGCCCGUGGCAAAUGUCCGCUAGACAUCAACAACAAUCCGAGUGUUUCCACAGAUGGUGAUGGAAAUGUUGAGAAAGACACUGCUGUGGAACAACCACCAAAAGCAAAAUGUCAAAAGACCAGAUCUAACGAGGAUAAGAGAAACAAGGCAUCGUCUGCAAGGCUUUUCAAGCUGAAUAAACUUCUUGUACAUGUUCAACAAGGCCAAGCUCAAGUCACUUUCAGUCAAUUUCUGACACAGCCUUAUACAGAUCAUGGGGAAAGAGAAAGGGAGGCUUGUGUUCUUCAGUAAGCCAGGGGACAGGGAUGAAAGAAGCACACAACCAUGGGGGAAAGUGAAAGUUAAAUCUGACCUUUUUUUGUGCUUCUUCUACCCUUAGUCAAUAUGAAUUGCCUGGAGAACAAAUCCUAAACCAGCCACCAUUGGAGGAUUGUGGAGAGUUUUCUGGAUC